rnacentral:rRNA from 1 species
GACGAACGCUGGCGGCGUGCCUAAUACAUGCAAGUAGAAAGAAGUUACGAACGGGUGAGUCACGCGUCGGUAACUGCCUCAUCGCGGGGGAUAACUAUUGGAAACGAUAGCUAAUACCGCAUACUGUGAGAUGGACAUGCGUUGUAUUAGCUAGUUGGUGAGGUAAAGGCUCACCAAGGCGACGAUACAUAGCCGACCUGAGAGGGUGAGCGGCCACAAGGGGAUUGAGACACGGACCAGACCGCGAAGGGGGGGAGCAGUAAGGAAUCCGCGGCAAUGGUCUGAAGUCUGGCCGAGCAACGAGGCGUGAGUGGAGAAGGUUUUCGGGUCAUAAAUCUCUUUUGUUAGAGUAGCGGUUGCUAACCAGAAAAGCACGGCUAACUACGUUCCAGCAGCCGCGGUAAUAC